UUAUUUAUUAAAUAAAUCUUAAAUACUUACACAAAAUCAAAAAAUCUAAAUAAUAACUUAUUAGGGAGGUUAAAAAAAAACCUUUUUCAGGAGUGUUGGAACUUGAGAAAAUUUUAAAGCUGGGAAACACAUUUUACAACUUCAAUUUUUUGAUAACUGGUUGAUUCCAGCUCCACCUUACUGGAGCUGAUUGGGUCGAUUUCUUCAUUGCAUCAAAACUCUUGUUGACUCCACAAGAGAGCAAUCAAAGUACAAUCAUAUGAAAAAAUAAACUUGAUCGAUGCCAUCUAAGCAAACCUCUGAAAGCAAUCAAACAGAACUGUAGAGACAAGCCAAUGAUAACAGAUGGUGUAGUAAGCAAUCAAAGACGACAUUCAAACGGUACAAUUGCUUCAAGCCAAUGAUAACAGAUGGUGUAGUAAGCAAUCAAAGACGACAUUCAAACGGUACAAUA
rnacentral:lncRNA from 1 species